CGGCCCGCGGGGUCUGAGGGUUUAGAGCGCCGACGUCGGCUCAGGCUGGUUUUGCGACUUUCCACCACCCACCCGACCCGCUGCCCUCCUGAGCAGGGGGCCGCAGGGUGUGGCUGCCCUGCCGGCACCCGGCCUCAGGAUGCAGGUUAGAAGCACAGCAGCUCCCUGGAGCAUAUCUUAUGGUGAUGGCAACCCCAAGAGGCCCAUUCUGAGUGAAAGAGGUGUAGCAGUGGGCACAUGACCACAGGACCCUGUGGAUCUCUCACAUCCUGUACCACCCAGAAGAUGAGUGAUCAAAUAGUCUCUGGAAGGUGCUGCAGUGCCAGUGUGGAGAUGAUAACCCUGCAAUAAUAAUAAGAGAAUUUGGAGAAUAUGGAAAAACAGAAGGAAAGAAACAAAAUCAUUGGUAAUCCCAGCAGCCAGGAAUACUCACAAUUGGGCACAUUUCCUUCUAGUCAUUUGUGUACUUUUCUUAAUAAAAUCAAG